AUGGGCAAUUCUGGUACUUCUUCAAAAUAUUGUGCAAACUUACCACUGUACUUUGGACAGAGCACCCAGCUGGCAGUGCUUGGGAAGAACGAUGAAAUCAUACCUCCAGCUGUGGCCAUCUUUUCCCCAUCAAAGCAAGAGAUCCAACAGAAGAGCAAGGCCACGCUGGUAUGCCUGGCCUCUGGUUUCUACCCUGACCACCUGAAUCUGGUCUGGAAGGUGAAUGGUGCUACGAGGACAGAAGGGGUGGGGACAGAUGAGUUUUCCACACGGAAUGGGAGUAUGUACUCAUUGACCAGCCGACUGAGGAUCUCAGCCCAGGAAUGGUUCAAUCCUUUGAACCAUUUUGAGUGUGUUGCCAAUUUUUUUAGGAAUGGAACACUGGAAUCGAUACACAAAUUAAUCUACAGUGAUGCUGAUUGUAGUGUCUUUAAAGAAAACUAUCAGAGAAGUGCUACAGCUGGGAAGUUUGUAUACAUCAUGCUUAUUUUCAAGAGCAUUUUGUAUGAGAUGUUUGUGAUGGGGCUGAUGCCUAGGUCCAAGGAGAGGAACAGAGAGGAACAUGUGUAG